rnacentral:tRNA from 1 species
GAGGGUAUAGCUCAGUGGUAGAGUGUGUGCCUAGCAUGCAUGAAGUCCCGGGUUCAAUCCCUAGGACCUCUG